UACGUAGGUGGCAAGCGUUGUCCGGAAUUAUUGGGCGUAAAGCGCGUGUAGGCGGCUCGUUAUGUCGGGUGUGAAAGCCCUCAGCUUAACUGAGGAAGUGCGCCCGAAACUGGCGAGCUUGGGUGUCGGAGAGGAUAGCGGAACACCCGGUGUAGAGGUGAAAUUCGUAGAUAUCGGGUAGAACACCAGUGGCGAAGGCGGCUAUCUGGACGACAACUGACGCUGAGACGCGAAAGCGUGGGGAGCAAACAGG
rnacentral:rRNA from 1 species